UAAUCUAAAAAAAUUAACACACCCUGUAUCAUUUGCAAACCUCUUCCACCGUCACAAACCACUUCAGUUUUCAAAAGUUGCAGACCUCGUCCACCGGCGCGAAAUCUGAAGACCAUACCUCUUAAUCAAACAUUCUCUGGGCUGGAUUUUCACCGAAUUCAAUAGCUCAUGUUCAAAGCGUCUUCAAUCUUCACCGAAUCACAAGAUGAUGAUACUGAGGCAGAACGUUUUUAUUUUUUAAAAAUUUUAGGGAUUAUUCAAGUUUGAACCUCUUUCUUCGAUUUUCAGAGAACCUUCAUGUUCGAUUUGACGUUCAUAUAACCCACCUGGGUUUCAUGAUCCUCACCCUAGUUUUUUCUAGGGUUUCGAAAUUGCAAAAGGCCUAACAAUUGAAGGGGUAAAUUGCAAAUCUGGAAAAGGCUUGUCGUAUAAGUCUGAAUCGCUAUCUACUUGCCGAGAGGUGGUAGCAGAUACGGUAUAAUUACUGUUGUUAUUGUAGUAGAAUAUGGCUAUGUUUGGUGGAAGGGUUGGAAACUUCCUGAUAUGAUGUUUGUUACAAGGUGCAGCUUAUCUGAUGCAUGCACUUCUAUAGCUAAACAGCUUGAGAAUGUUUACUCAUCGGUUUCGAUAGGGAGCUCAGCUCAGUUUAUCCUUUGUGAUAUGAUUCCGGUCCAGAAUAUAGUAGGUGCUCCGCUAAGCAUGGGAAGCACCUUUGGUUUGGAGGAGAAGUUAGAUACAAUUCAGAAGCUACUUGAGCAGCAACAACAGCUCCUUGAGCAGCAGCAGCAGCAACAACAACAACACAGCAUUUUCAUGAUUGCAUUCAGUUUAAAAUGAUGUUUUAAUUUUUGAUGAUGUUUGGAACCAUCUGAUGUUAAAGCAGCUAGUAGAUACUUUUAGUUCUUGAUUACAAAACUGGAGAAUUUGUAGUUUCAUCAUGAGAUUAAGAGCUCAUUUGUUGGCACUGUGUUGUGGUGAUAAUCUAUUUUUUUUUCUUUCUAGAAUGAUAUUGUGGAUGUAUGUACUUUUUAGUUAUGAUGUUUUGAUAUAUAAGGUGAAUAUGGUUUAA